CACGUAGGGGGCGAGCGUUGUCCGGAAUUACUGGGCGUAAAGGGCGCGCAGGCUGUUAUGCGAGUCUGCUGUGAAAUGUACCGGCUCAACCGGUGCCUUGCGGCGGAUACUGCAUAGCUGGAGUACUGGAGAGGGAAGUGGAAUUCCCGGUGUAGCGGUGAAAUGCGUAGAUAUCAGGAGGAACACCGGCGGCGAAGGCGGCUUGCUGGACGGCAACUGACGUUGAGGCUCGAAAGCGUGGGGAGCAAACAGGAUUAGAUACCCG
rnacentral:rRNA from 1 species